ACUAUAUUGCAACAAGCACUGACAGCAGUCUCCUUCAUUUAAGGGGUGGGAAAGCUUUGUACAGGAAGGGAAGAUGUAACCAAGAGCAAAUCUGAAUGGGGAACAGAAGUGAAAGGAAAAGAAAAUAAAAGAUUAUUUUCAUGCUGUUCUAGUAGCUUCACAGUUAGCAAUUUAUAAUCAUCACAAUUAGCUUUACUAGUAGAUUUGCUAGAAGGUAGAACUUGAGAUGCUAUGUUUAGCACAACUGACUUUAUAGAAAGUCUAACCUCUUCACAUCAUUCUUUUCAGAAAACACAAUAUUCUAAUGACAUAGACCAUAAUGUAUGUUGUUUUGAUUUAUACCCUGAGUUGUCACUUAACUUUAACCGAGUUCUUAAAUUUUUUGACUCCAUCAUGUACUUAAGUGCUCUACUGACUUGAUGUCUUAAUGAGGCCCCCUGCAAUGGUUCCUUGUUGGUCUCUGGUGAAAGCUCUGCCUGCAGCUUUUGAACUCAAGAAUAUUUGGUUCCAAAUUCCCACUUUGUUUUUCAGUUAAUUUUUCCAACUUGAGAACAUCCUUCCCCAGUUCAGGCUUGAUUGCUUGAUUGCAACACUGAGCACACUGAUGGUACUCCACAAAUAAUGCUUCAUAAUUAGCACAACUGAUAAGAGAAAAACAUCAAAAUAAUACUUAAUGGGCACAGUGCAACAGUGUUAAUGGGUCAAAUUUUCUUCUUGCCUUCACAGUGCUGCUAAACUAAGUUUAUUUCUCUUAUUUCAAGCUGGUAAUUUUUUAUGUUAAACUCAAGGCAUUUCCUAGUACCAAUAAAUAAAUAAAAUCACACCAACCCUACCUUAAUUAAGUAUAAAAGACCUCUCUGAACUUACAAACUUUAGAAACCAGGUCCCUGCCUCCCGCAGCAAUGAGUAUGGGUUGUCACAACAUCCACUGUGACGUUUCUUGCUGUCACCCCAAGAGAACAGAUCGUCAUUGUGAUGUGCUGUGAAGGUACCACAGGGGUGAAAUACCCUUUAAGUGCUGGAGUUGAGGAUCUCACUGAGAAAACCUUGGUGGUCCUAUUCCUGAUUAACAUCCAGAGAUGUUUUCGCAUGACAGGAGCUCACUGGACUCCAGCUGUUCCAGUAUCACAUAGAGCUGUUCUGGAGAGGAUCAAGAGAUCACUGCUUUUUCUCAGGCUCAUGGGCAUCAAGCAAGCAUUUGCAGAGCUAAGUAGGAAAACUGUUGUGUUGAGAAAUCAUGUUUAACUGUCUUUUCUUUUCUGUCCUGAGGAUGUGAAUAAUAGGUACUGGAGAUUCCAUGACAUAUGUCCAUUGAGGUCAGUAAGUGUAUAUAUCCAUGAAUGCUACCACCAUAGUCCCCAAAUGUAUUUUGGGGGAAUUAUUCUUUCUUUAUUGCUAUGAAUUUCAAGAGGUCAGGGACAAGUAUUGGACUCUAUAACAGAACUGAACUGCUACUAGUGGAUAUGACCUUUGAUCUCUGAAGACACUUGGUUCUGAGUUCUUGUUUCAGAUCCUUCUCUAUAUGGACCAAUAUCACCACUGUAGUGGUGAAUAACAUGGGGUAAUGACUCUAUUCCAGGGCAUUAAUGGGCAGAACAUGUUUGCAAUGUGUUUAGCUGCCAUCAAUAUUAAUACACUUAUUUGAGGGGCAAUAAAUUGAUAGAUUGUGGCCUUAUAAUGCA
rnacentral:lncRNA from 1 species